CCUACGGGAGGCAGCAGUGAGGAAUAUUGGUCAAUGGGCGCGAGCCUGAACCAGCCAAGUAGCGUGAAGGAUGACUGCCCUACGGGUUGUAAACUUCUUUUAUCAAGGAAUAAAGUGAGGCACGUGUGCCUUUAUGUAUGUACUUUAUGAAUAAGGAUCGGCUAACUCCGUGCCAGCAGCCGCGGUAAUACGGAGGAUCCGAGCGUUAUCCGGAUUUAUUGGGUUUAAAGGGAGCGUAGAUGGGUUGUUAAGUUAGUUGUGAAAGUUUGCGGCUCAACCGUAAAAUUGCAAUUGAUACUGGCAGUCUUGAGUACAGUUGAGGUAGGCGGAAUGCGUGGUGUAGCGGUGAAAUGCUUAGAUAUCACGAAGAACUCCGAUUGCGAAGGCAGCUUACUAAACUGCCACUGACAUUGAUGCACGAAAGUGUGGGUAUCAAACAGGAUUAGAUACCCCAGUAGUC
rnacentral:rRNA from 1 species